GACGAACGCUGGCGGCGUGCUUAACACAUGCAAGUCGAACGGAAAGGCCCUGCUUUUGUGGGGUGCUCGAGUAGCGAACGGGUGAGUAACACGUGAGUAACCUGCCCUUGACUUUGGGAUAACUUCAGGAAACUGGGGCUAAUACCGGAUAGGAGCUCCUGCUGCAUGGUGGGGGUUGGAAAGUUUCGGCGGUUGGGGAUGGACUCGCGGCUUAUCAGCUUGUUGGUGGGGUAGUGGCUUACCAAGGCUUUGACGGGUAGCCGGCCUGAGAGGGUGACCGGCCACAUUGGGACUGAGAUACGGCCCAGACUCCUACGGGGGGCAGCAGUGGGGAAUAUUGCACAAUGGGCGGAAGCCUGAUGCAGCAACGCCGCGUGCGGGAUGACGGCCUUCGGGUUGUAAACCGCUUUCGCCUGUGACGAAGCGUGAGUGACGGUAAUGGGUAAAGAAGCACCGGCUAACUACGUG
rnacentral:rRNA from 1 species